GUCUACUGUUCUAUUUAUUAAUUUGCUUGUUCUGUAGCCUUUUCAUGUUCAUUUGAAACCAUACUAAGAUGUUAUGAAAAUUAGCCCAAUCUUAUGUGAAGUACAAACAAAUGAUGUUUCCAAAAUAGCAAGUUGUAGAUAGCUCAAUACGGCAUAACCAUUCCUAUUAUCAGCUCCAAUACAUGGAUCCUGUUUCAAGAUGACCUUAGACAAGACUAAUAGCGAUAGUUAACCUUUUAGCAAUGCUGUCCAAGAUCUUACCUGACUUGUGUGCUGCUGAUCGAAACCUUCUUUGAUAGUUAAUGAGAACAUGUGAUAUUUUGACAACUGAUAUUGUGCUUGAACUAUUUUGUAAUGGACAUGAAA
rnacentral:lncRNA from 1 species